GAUCAAAUCAAGCGCGAGAAGGGCGUUUGGUGGAUGCCUUGGCAGCAAGAGGCGAUGAAGGACGUGAUACUCUGCGAUAAGCCAGGGGGAGCCGAGAAUAGGCUUUGAUCCCUGGAUCUCCGAAUGGGGCAACCCACCUGAUAUUCAGUUAUUAUCAGCCGUCAGGUUUUUGAUAAUUGGGUAAACCAGGUACUUCUUACCUGAAUACAUAGGGUUUGAAGAGCAAACCCGGGGAACUGAAACAUCUAAGUACCCGGAGGAAAGGAAAUCAAUGAUACUCCCCUAGUAGCGGCGAGCGAACGGGGACCAGCCGAGCCUUGAGAGUGAUCGGAACAUGCUGGAAAGCAUGGCCAUAGCGGGUGACAGCCCCGUACGAGAAGCUCGAUGGGACGUAUUAAGUAGGGCGGGACACGUGAAAUCCUGUCUGAAGAUCGGAGGACCACCUUCGAAGGCUAAGUACUCCUUGCUGACCGAUAGCGAACCAGUACCGUGAGGGAAAGGUGAAAAGCACCCCGACGAGGGGAGUGAAACAGUACCUGAAACCGAACGCCUACAAUCAGUCGGAGCUCCAGUGACGGCGUACCUUUUGUAUAAUGGGUCAUCGACUUGGUCUAUCUAGCAAGCUUAAGCCGAUAGGUGUAGGCGCAGCGAAAGCGAGUCUUAAUAGGGCGUCGAGUUAGAUGGAUCAGACCCGAAACCGAGUGAUCUAGGCAUGACCAGGAUGAAGGUAAGGUAACACUUACUGGAGGUCCGAACCCACACCUGUUGAAAAAGGUCGGGAUGAGUUGUGCCUAGGGGUGAAAGGCCAAUCAAACUCGGAGAUAGCUGGUUCUCCGCGAAAUCUAUUUAGGUAGAGCGUCAUCCGAAUACCCCGGGGGGUAGAGCACUGGAUGGGUAAUGGGGCCCCACAGGCUUACUGAUCCUAACCAAACUCCGAAUACCCGGGAGUACUAGAUGGCAGACACACUGCGGAUGCUAACGUCCGUAGUGGAGAGGGAAACAACCCUGACCUACAGCUAAGGCCCCCAAUUCAUGGCUAAGUGGGAAAGCAGGUGGGACGACCAAAACAACCAGGAGGUUGGCUUAGAAGCAGCCAUCCUUUAAAGAUAGCGUAACAGCUCACUGGUCUAAACAAGUUGUCCUGCGGCGAAGAUGUAACGGGGCUCAAGCCAUGAGCCGAAGCUUAGGAUGCCGUAAGGCAUGGUAGCGGAGCGUAGUGUGAUAUAGGACUUAUCCUUUACUGCCGCCGGUCGUACGGAGCGUGGAAACGCGCUCAAGUAGCCGAUAGGCGGUAGCGCAGGAGAAAGUCUUUUCUGUGAAGCCGGCCUGUGAGGGAUCCGGUGGAGAGAUCACUAGCGAGAAUGAUGACAUGAGUAGCGACAAAGAGUGUGAGAGACACUCUCGCCGAAAGUCCAAGGGUUCCUGCUUAAAGCUAAUCUGAGCAGGGUAAGCCGACCCCUAAGGCGAGGCCGAAAGGCGUAGUCGAUGGGAACCAGGUUAAUAUUCCUGGGCCAGGAGGAUGUGACGGAUUGUGGCGGCGUGCGUGCCUUAUCGGAUUGGCGCGUAUCCAAGACAGUCCCAGGAAAUAGCCCUCCAUGAGAUCGUACCCUAAACCGACACAGGUGGACUGGUAGAGAAUACCAAGGCGCUUGAGAGAACGAUGUUGAAGGAACUCGGCAAAAUACCUCCGUAAGUUCGCGAGAAGGAGGCCCGGUACACGACUACCGGGGGCACAAACCAGGGGGUGGCGACUGUUUAUUAAAAACACAGGGCUCUGCGAAGUCGCAAGACGACGUAUAGGGUCUGACGCCUGCCCGGUGCCUGAAGGUUAAAAGGAGGGGUGCAAGCUCCGAAUUGAAGCCCAGGUAAACGGCGGCCGUAACUAUAACGGUCCUAAGGUAGCGAAAUUCCUUGUCGGGUAAGUUCCGACCUGCACGAAUGGCGUAACGACUUCCCCGCUGUCUCCAACAUCGACUCAGCGAAAUUGAAUUGCCUGUCAAGAUGCAGGCUUCCCGCGGUUAGACGGAAAGACCCCGUGCACCUUCACUACAGCUUCGCACUGGCAUCAGGCACAACAUGUGCAGGAUAGGUGGUAGGCUUUGAAGCAGGGACGCCAGUCCCUGUGGAGCCUCCCUUGAGAUACCACCCUUGUUCUGCUUGAUGUCUAACCGCGGCCCGUUAUCCGGGUCCGGGACCCUGCGUGGUGGGUAGUUUGACUGGGGCGGUCGCCUCCUAAAGCGUAACGGAGGCGCGCGAAGGUUGGCUCAGAGCGGUCGGAAAUCGCUCGUUGAGUGCAAUGGCAGAAGCCAGCCUGACUGCAAGACUGACAAGUCGAGCAGAGUCGAAAGACGGCCAUAGUGAUCCGGUGGUCCCAAGUGGGAGGGCCAUCGCUCAACGGAUAAAAGGUACGCCGGGGAUAACAGGCUGAUACUGCCCAAGAGUCCAUAUCGACGGCAGUGUUUGGCACCUCGAUGUCGGCUCAUCUCAUCCUGGGGCUGGAGCAGGUCCCAAGGGUAUGGCUGUUCGCCAUUUAAAGAGGUACGUGAGCUGGGUUUAGAACGUCGUGAGACAGUUCGGUCCCUAUCUGCCGUGGGUGUAGGAUACUUGAGAGGAGUUGCCCCUAGUACGAGAGGACCGGGGUGAACGAUCCACUGGUGGACCUGUUGUUGCGCCAGCAGCAGUGCAGGGUAGCUAUGAUCGGACAGGAUAACCGCUGAAGGCAUCUAAGCGGGAAGCCCCCCUCAAAACAAGGUAUCCCUGAGGACCGUGGAAGACCACCACGUCGAUAGGCCGGAGAUGUAAGCACAGCAAUGUGUUCAGUUGACCGGUACUAAUGGUCCGAUAGGCUUGAUUUGAUCCAG
rnacentral:rRNA from 1 species